GAUGAACGCUGGCGGCGUGCCUAAUACAUGCAAGUCGAGCGAACAGAUAAGGAGCUUGCUCCUUUGACGUUAGCGGCGGACGGGUGAGUAACACGUGGGUAACCUACCUAUAAGACUGGGAUAACUUCGGGAAACCGGAGCUAAUACCGGAUAAUAUUUCGAACCGCAUGGUUCGAUAGUGAAAGAUGGUUUUGCUAUCACUUAUAGAUGGACCCGCGCCGUAUUAGCUAGUUGGUAAGGUAACGGCUUACCAAGGCGACGAUACGUAGCCGACCUGAGAGGGUGAUCGGCCACACUGGAACUGAGACACGGUCCAGACUCCUACGGGAGGCAGCAGUAGGGAAUCUUCCGCAAUGGGCGAAAGCCUGACGGAGCAACGCCGCGUGAGUGAUGAAGGUCUUCGGAUCGUAAAACUCUGUUAUUAGGGAAGAACAUACGUGUAAGUAACUGUGCACGUCUUGGCGGUACCUAAUCAGAAAGCCACGGCUAACUACGUG
rnacentral:rRNA from 1 species